UAGCAUCCCUUAUAGAGCCCAGCCCAAACACACACAUCACACCCUGAAGAGACCCUCAAUCUGGUGUCUCACAAUUUAGGGCCCCACCUCAGUGCUGUCCUCUAUAGGCCCCAGAAAGUCAUGAGAUUUGUGUGACCCAUGAGUUUUGAAUGUUUGGAGCUGGCCAUACUGCUGAUGCAACAAUUUAUAUAUCCUCCUGUCUAGAGCUUUUUGAAAAAGAUAAGAAGAGGGCAAGGACUUUGCACUCAAGGUGAAGCUAAACCCAUCCUCAGGUGAGGAACUGGCCUUCCUGCUGAGAGGUAUAUGGGGAGCACUAGCCACGACACCACCUGGCCCGGAGUGGAUCAUGCCAUAGAGCUGCCCAGAUCACGCCUGCAAUAACCAGCAGACCUCUCAUCUUCUCUCUCAUUUAAGGCCCAGAGUUAGCCUGGAAUAUGGAUUAGGAAAUUCAGAGAGACUGAUCCAGAGCCUGGAGUAUUGCCUCUGCUCCGCUUCGCCGACCAUGGUUAAGGCAACACCUGGUGGGCCCUUUACCCUGGCAGUAACUUGGAACUAGGGCAGUCAAGCGAUUAAAAAAAUUAAUCACGAUUAAUCGCGCUGUUAACA